AACGAACGCUGGCGGCAGGCUUAACACAUGCAAGUCGAACGCCCCGCAAGGGGAGUGGCAGACGGGUGAGUAACGCGUGGGAACGUACCUUUCAGUUCGGAAUAACUCAGGGAAACUUGUGCUAAUACCGGAUACGCUCGCAAGAGGAAAGAUUUAUCGCCGAAAGAUCGGCCCGCGUUGGAUUAGCUAGUUGGUGGGGUAAUGGCCUACCAAGGCGACGAUCCAUAGCUGGUCUGAGAGGAUGAUCAGCCACACUGGGACUGAGACACGGCCCAGACUCCUACGGGAGGCAGCAGUGGGGAAUAUUGGACAAUGGGCGAAAGCCUGAUCCAGCCAUGCCGCGUGAGUGAUGAAGGCCCUAGGGUUGUAAAGCUCUUUCACCGAUGAAGAUAAUGACGGUAGUCGGAGAAGAAGCCCCGGCUAACUUCGUGCCAGCAGCCGCCGUAAAAC
rnacentral:rRNA from 1 species